GUGAGGAAUAUUGGUCAAUGGGCGGGAGCCUGAACCAGCCAAGUCGCGUGAAGGAAGAAGGAUCUAUGGUUCGUAAACUUCUUUUGCAGGGGAAUAAAGUGCAGGACGUGUCCUGUUUUGUAUGUACCCUGAGAAUAAGGAUCGGCUAACUCCGUGCCAGCAGCCGCGGUAAUACGGAGGAUCCGAGCGUUAUCCGGAUUAAUUGGGUUUAAAGGGUGCGUAGGUGGUUUGAUAAGUCAGCGGUGAAAGUUUGCAGCAUAACUGUAAAAAUGCCGUUGAAACUGUCGGACUUGAGUGUAAAUGAGGUGGGCGGAAUGCGUGGUGUAGCGGUGAAAUGCAUAGAUAUCACGCAGAACUCCGAUUGCGAAGGCAGCUUACUAAGCUACAACUGACACUGAAGCACGAAAGCGUGGGGAUCAAACAGGAUUAGAUACCCCGGUAGUCC
rnacentral:rRNA from 1 species